UGCUGAUGUAAUUUAUAUUUAAAGUAAUGAUAAUAGUAGGAUUUGGAAAUUUAUAUACCUUUUACGAAAGACAAUAAUGUAUCAAAAUCUUAUUAUAGAAAAAGAUUCACCCAUGUAUUAAUCAGAAAAGUCAUUAAAAAAAAUUUGCAGAUCAAAAAGGAAUUUAAACUGUAAAACUAGGGACAUAAUCACGAAAAAAAUCAUUAAAAGUAGCAAACGACUGAAGAAAAAAAAAUUUGAAAGAUUGGAAUUCAACUUCCUAGCAUAACAAACUUAAACACCUCUCUUGUACACAGACGGUAAAAUCAGCUUUUUACCCUGAGACCAAAGGCUCAACUUUUUCUUUUUGGCAACUAUUUCUAAAGCUAAAAGACAUUCUUUUUUAGUUGGACAAAAUACACCAUCACUGCCCUCAUAAACCACAGCCAAACCUUUACGAAUCAUCUGGGGACCAAUGUCUUUCUUCCAAAAGAAAUGGGGAAUUGGAUAAUACUGGACUCCUGCAACAAGUCUAGCGUAGCGGUCAAUUUUUAGGGGAAUGAUCCUAACGCUUUUAUGAUAAAGUUUAUUAUGCAAGAACUCUUUGGCUUCUAAGGCAUAAGGUUGCUCCUGUUUACCAAAAUGCGCAGAUUCUGGGGCAUCAAUUCCUGCGAGACGCACAGAAAUGGUUUCAUUCGAUAAAUCAGAUCUACUGCAUGGCACUUUUCUUAACCAGUGCCAUCCUAACAAACGACCUCCCGGAGUAUGAUAAAAACGAAAGUUGUCACCGUCACCUACUCUAGUUACAUAUCCGAACAUAGUUUUGUAUUUCCGAUUUUCGACUGUCGAGUUGUUAAGAUAAUUCUUGGGAAUAGUACUAGCAUUAGAUAUUCUACGAAACCGUCUUAGAAAAAAGAAACCACCAAUUGAGGUAGUAAUGAGACCAGUUCCGAUUAUGGCUUUUUCCUUGUAUUGAGACUCUUGCAUGAUUGUAUGUUAUCACUUUUCACAACUUUAUUUCCUCAAUCUGUAUCGCAUUUGCAUCCAAAUGCUAGGAUUUUGAAAAUUAGAGAUAAUUCUUCAAAAAACCUUACCUAGAAAGAUGGAAUGAAUUGUGGAAGGUAUAACACAUAAAAAAACUAUUCCGUUUUAAAAGCAUCCAAAGAAGUUUAGUAUCAUGAAAGAAAUUCAACUAGUGUAGUUCAAAUUUGGGUGGGAGCGGUUUUCGAAAAGGACAGAGAAGUAAUUUACGUUAUUAAAAAUUAAAUUCAAGCAAUUAGUUUAUUUACUAAUUAAGAUAGCAC